GUCCACGCCCUAAACGAUGUCAACUGGGUGUUCGGGAAGCGAUUCCUGGGUACCGUAGCUAACGCGAGAAGUUGACCGCCUGGGGAGUACGGCCGCAAGGUUAAAACUCAAAGGAAUUGACGGGGACCCGCACAAGCGGUGGAUGAUGUGGAUUAAUUCGAUGCAACGCGAACAACCUUACCUACCCUUGACAUGUCCGGAACCCUGCUGAGAGGUGGGGGUGCCCGAAAGGGAAUCGGAACACAGGUGCUGCAUGGCUGUCGU
rnacentral:rRNA from 1 species